UACAGAGGUCUCAAGCGUUGUUCGGAUUCAUUGGGCGUAAAGGGUGCGUAGGCGGCGCGGUAAGUCGGGUGUGAAAUCUCGGAGCUUAACUCCGAAACUGCAUUCGAUACUGCCGUGCUUGAGGACUGGAGAGGAGACUGGAAAUUUACGGUGUAGCGGUGAAAUGCGUAGAUAUCGUAAGGAAGACCAGUGGCGAAGGCGGGUCUCUGGACAGUUCCUGACGCUGGAGACGCGAAAGCGUGGGGAGCGAACAGG
rnacentral:rRNA from 1 species